rnacentral:rRNA from 1 species
UGGGGAAUAUUGGACAAUGGGCGAAAGCCUGAUCCAGCCAUGCCGCGUGUGUGAAGAAGGUCUUCGGAUUGUAAAGCACUUUAAGUUGGGAGGAAGGGCAGUUACCUAAUACGUGAUUGUUUUGACGUUACCGACAGAAUAAGCACCGGCUAACUCUGUGCCAGCAGCCGCGGUAAUACAGAGGGUGCAAGCGUUAAUCGGAAUUACUGGGCGUAAAGCGCGCGUAGGUGGUUAGUUAAGUUGGAUGUGAAAUCCCCGGGCUCAACCUGGGAACUGCAUUCAAAACUGACUGACUAGAGUAUGGUAGAGGGUGGUGGAAUUUCCUGUGUAGCGGUGAAAUGCGUAGAUAUAGGAAGGAACACCAGUGGCGAAGGCGACCACCUGGACUGAUACUGACACUGAGUGCGAAAGCGUGGGGAGCAAACAGGAUUAGAUACCCUGGUAGUCCACGCCGUAAACGAUGUCAACUAGCCGUUGGGGAGCCUUGAGCUCUUAGUGGCGCAGCUAACGCAUUAAGUUGACCGCCUGGGGAGUACGGCCGCAAGGUUAAAAC